AGCAGCCGCGGUAAUUCCAGCUCCAAUAGCGUAUAUUAAAGUUGUUGCAGUUAAAAAGCUCGUAGUUGAAUUUCGGGAUCAAUUUAUCGGUCGUGCCAAUGGUAUGAACUGGUACAAUUGGUUUCUCCCUUCUGACGAAGCAUGAUGUCAUUAAUUUGGUGUCGUGGGGAAUCAGGACUGUUACUUUGAAAAAUUAGAGUGUUUAAAGCAAGCAUUAGCUUGAAUACAUUAGCAUGGAAUAAUGAAAUAGGACGUUUGAUCCUAUUUCGUUGGUUUCUAGGAUCGACGUAAUGAUUAAUAGGGAUAGUUGGGGGCAUUAGUAUUCAAUUGUCAGAGGUGAAAUUCUUGGAUUUAUUGAAGACUAACUACUGCGAAAGCAUUUGCCAAGGAUGUUUUCAUUAAUCAAGAACGAAAGUUA
rnacentral:rRNA from 1 species